CUCAGAUCGGCGACCUGAGUGCUGUCGCCCCGAGAAAAUGGAGGCAUCGAGCAACGAGCUGUGCUGAGACCGAGAGACCUCAGUUCUGCGAAAUGUCGGUGCCUGGAGCUUGCGAAUGACUGCGGCCGGCGGGUUGUCAAGGACAACAUUCCUUAUGGCGCAACCAACAGCGCUGUCACCAAGAAACUGGACUCUGAGAAAAAAGAGGGUUUCGGCCACCGAGAAACUCCGUGCCACAUGUGCCGUGACAGCAAAACCGCCCGCUCCGCGCCGCUGGUGAAAGAGCUAACGAACGCCAGGUGCUGCGACAGUGACACCGGGACUAGAAGGCCUCGGAUGGAGAAUGGGACGCCCAGAGCAAGCAGGAAAACGUUUUGUUUGGCUCAACUAGCGCUGUCGCAACCGGAAAACUGUCAGGCCAGUGCUGCUGCGGAUGUGAGAAACCGGUGAUCCGAAGGCGGAGUGGCGCUGGGCGCUGGACUCGCUGGUGUGAAAAUCUGGCUGCUCUAGGACCCGGCAAGCGCGGGCACCAGGCGAACGCCAGCGACUUUGCCAGACAAAUGCAUGUCUUUUUUGGUCGCCAUUCAAAGAUGCAGCCGGCAGUCAGCCCCGGCUCUGAGAAACAAGUGGAGGUGUCAGCCAUAAACCCUCCGUUCAGGGAAAAGAGAGUCGCUGCGACGGAUCGACUGGCCGUUGGGUGGAACUUUCUUUGGUGGCCUAGUGACUAGAAAAUAAAAACGAAAACGAAAUAAAAAACUGCUACUGACAUUACUCCCACGCUCCCUCCUCAAGUCAGUGGCUUCAGGCUUAAGAAAACCUGUAUUUUUCUUGGCUGAUCCGUGAUCCCUAAUUACUGAGGGCCCCGCGACCCACCAAGUGCGAUUCGCAGAGGGAAAGGAGCUGGAAUAAGGAUCCAGAAUGGGACGGAUUUGGCUCCUCCAGGAAGAAAGCAAAACAAAUGCAGGUCGCGAACACUUUACAUUGCAGGAAGCUGCUCUUCCAGUGGCCGCGGCUGGGUCCUUCCACACCACCUCUCUGUCCUAGGCCUUCGUCCCGGUUCAGCCCUCACGGAUUCUAGGCUAGCGGUCAACAACCGCAUCCCUCCGGAACCUGGAAACUCUAGGUCCGAGAUCUCGGUGAAGAAUGAAAGGCACAGCGCCGCUCAACCCAGGCUUCAGGCCUGCCCCGCUGGUCCCGUCCCUUCCCUGUGGGAUGGAACUCUGUGGGAAUCGCUCCUUAUUCUGAUGGUUCACUCAUUCAGAUGUCCUUGAUAUUUGGGGAUAUUUCUAAAACAGCUGGGGAGAAAAAUGGACUGCGAGGCUCCGGUGUUGGACGUGAAAUUGGCAGUGAGACAUCCGCCUCUAAGCCCAGGGAAAAGCUUAAAUUGUGGUUCUCUGUCUCUAGCACCGUGAUCUUUGAAAUGCGUUAUUGAUUUUCUUCUUUCUUCUGGGAAAUGCAAUGCAGGUGAACUUUACUAUCCUUUUCUGGGGGAUCCUAGGCAGAAGCGAUGGCAGGACAAAGGCAGAGAAGGCACUGCCAGGUCCUGCAUGCCAGUAAAACUACUCAUGUCAGCUGUUCUGCAGGAUCCCAUGAGAAGGUGAGUCACCAGAAAAUGCAGUUUCCACAUCCUGAUGAUUUCAUCUCCCUACCCCAACUGAUCAAUUUCUCCAAUUUUCCAGCCUCUCACCCUCCACAAUCCCCUUAAAAACUGUAGCCCAGAACUCUCUGGAAUGAUGAAUUUGAAGGUUUGCUCCUGUCUCCUCACUCAGAAGCCUGUAAUCAUUAAACUCUUUCUCUGAUGCAAACUCUGCUGUCUCAGUGUAAUUGGUAUGUAAGUGUGCAGCAGGCAUAUGAAUCUGUUGGUCCUGUAACAGUUGGGAUGCAGUGGCACAAUUGUAGCUCACUGUAAUCUCUACCUCCUACACCUAAGGGAACCUUACCACCUCAGCACUCGGAAUAGCUAGGACUUUAGGUCUGUGUGCUACCACCCAUGGCUAAUUUAUAAAAUAAUUUCUUUGUAGAGACAGGAUCUUUCUAUAUAGCCUGGGCUGGUCUCAAACUCCUGGCCUCAAGGUAUCCUCCCCACUCUGCAUCACAAAGAGCUGUCAUUACAUGUGUGAGAUACCAUACCCUGCCCAUGGUAGAAUAUUAACACAUGGGUGUGA
rnacentral:lncRNA from 1 species